UGGCCCUUACGACCAGGGCUACACACGUGCUACAAUGGCGCAUACAAAGAGAAGCGACCUCGCGAGAGCAAGCGGACCUCAUAAAGUGCGUCGUAGUCCGGAUUGGAGUCUGCAACUCGACUCCAUGAAGUCGGAAUCGCUAGUAAUCGUGGAUCAGAAUGCCACGGUGAAUACGUUCCCGGGCCUUGUACACACCGCCCGUCACACCAUGGGAGUGGGUUGCAAAAGAAGUAGGUAGCUUAACCUUCGGGAGGGCGCUUACCACUUUGUGAUUCAUGACUGGGGUGAAGUCGUAACAAGGUAACCGUAGGGGAACCUGCGGUUGGAUCACCUCCUU
rnacentral:rRNA from 1 species